UUUUUUUAAUCUUGAAAGAGGAAUUCCUAGUAAUCGCGGUUCAUCCAACCCCAAUGAUUACGUCCCUGCCCUCAGUACACACCGCCCGUCGCACCUACAGAUUAAAUGGUCCGCGAAGACUCGGGAUGUGUGGUUUGGCUCCUCCACAGGGGCCGACCCCGAGAACUGUCCUCUGUAAAACUACGGCCAGUCCGCGGUAAUCCAGCUCCA
rnacentral:rRNA from 1 species